UACGUAGGGGGCAAGCGUUGUCCGGAAUUAUUGGGCGUAAAGAGCUCGUAGGCGGUUUGUCGCGUCGGGAGUGAAAUCCACUGGCUUAACUGGUGGCUUGCUUUCGAUACGGGCAGACUGGAGGUAUGCAGGGGAGAACGGAAUUCCUGGUGUAGCGGUGAAAUGCGCAGAUAUCAGGAGGAACACCGGUGGCGAAGGCGGUUCUCUGGGCAUGUCCUGACGCUGAGGAGCGAAAGUGUGGGGAGCGAACAGG
rnacentral:rRNA from 1 species